ACUGGAUACAUGAUGUGUUAUUAAACUGCGUUAUCUAUCUGCAACUUCCUUUUAUUUGGAAUUGAAGAAAAUUCAGAUUUCGCUGAUAUCCUGU